GAAACCUGGUGGAGAACGCAUAAUAAAUGAAUACCAUCGAACCAAGUCCUUGCAGGAUGACAACAGAAGGAAAAUGGUGAACAUAUUGGCAGCUGACUUGACAGAGAAGAAUGGUACUUCACCACCCAGACAGCUGAAAGAAAAGUAUGCCAGAGGAAUCGUGACCUUAUUCCCCUACCUCAGUGACCCACACUCUAAGAAUGGCUAUGAGCAUUAUUAUGAUGGCGAGAGUGG